rnacentral:tRNA from 1 species
UCCCCGAUAGCUCAGUCGGUAGAGCACUCGGCUGUUAACCGAGGUGUCACAGGUUCGAGUCCUGUUCGGGGAG